rnacentral:tRNA from 4 species
GGGCCGGUAGAUCAGCGGCAGAUCGCCCGGUUUGCACCCGGGAGGUCGCGGGUUCGAGUCCCGCCCGGUCCA